UCAGCAAAUGAUUUCUUUUCUUUUUUUUUUUUUGGCCGGAUAGGUCCAGCGAGGUUGGAUGUCGGCAUGUAAUCCCAGAUACCCCACCUUCCACAGCUGUGCAUGUUAAGGAGGGAGGCCUGGAACAUAUUCUCCCUCUGAGUCCCAAGAAGGAACCCACCUUACUGACACCUUGAUCUUAGACUUUCAGCCCUCAGAAAUGAGACAAUAAAUACCUUUCUGUUGUUUAAGCUGCCCAGCCUAAAGUACUUUGUUAUGUAUGGCAGCCCUAGACAGUUAAUACAAAUAUUAAUAUCAACAAUUCGUCACAAUGAUUCCUUUUGGGUUUUUAAAUGCAAAUGAGUGCCUAAACACCAGAGAUGAUUUUCUCUUUAGCUGAAUCAUGUGAGUAUUCUGAGUCAAGUUUAUAUUUUUAAUAAGUUAA
rnacentral:lncRNA from 10 species